rnacentral:rRNA from 1 species
AUUGAACGCUGGCGGCAGGCCUAACACAUGCAAGUCGAACGGUAGCACAGAGAGCUUGCUCUCGGGUGACGAGUGGCGGACGGGUGAGUAACGUCUGGGAAACUGCCCGAUGGAGGGGGAUAACUACUGGAAACGGUAGCUAAUACCGCAUAACGUCGCAAGACCAAAGUGGGGGACCUUCGGGCCUCACACCAUCGGAUGUGCCAGAUGGGAUUAGCUAGUAGGUGGGGUAAUGGCUCACCUAGGCGACGAUCCCUAGCUGGUCUGAGAGGAUGACCGGCCACACUGGAACUGAGACACGGUCCAGACUCCUACGGGAGGCAGCAGUGGGGAAUAUUGCACAAUGGGCGCAAGCCUGAUGCAGCCACGCCGCGUGUAUGAAGAAGGCCUUCGGGUUGUAAAGUACUUUCAGCGGGGAGGAAGGCGGUGAAGUUAAUAGCUUCACCGAUUGACGUUACCCGCAGAAGAAGCACCGGCUAACUCCGUGCCAGCCGCCGCGGUAA